rnacentral:rRNA from 1 species
GACGAAUGCUGGCGGCGUGCCUAAUACAUGCAAGUUGAGCGAUGAAGAUUGGUGCUUGCACCAAUUUGAAGAGCAGCGAACGGGUGAGUAACGCGUGGGGAAUCUGCCUUUGAGCGGGGGACAACAUUUGGAAACGAAUGCUAAUACCGCAUAACAACUUUAAACAUAAGUUUUAAGUUUGAAAGAUGCAAUUGCAUCACUCAAAGAUGAUCCCGCGUUGUAUUAGCUAGUUGGUGAGGUAAAGGCUCACCAAGGCGAUGAUACAUAGCCGACCUGAGAGGGUGAUCGGCCACAUUGGGACUGAGACACGGCCCAAACUCCUACGGGAGGCAGCAGUAGGGAAUCUUCGGCAAUGGACGAAAGUCUGACCGAGCAACGCCGCGUGAGUGAAGAAGGUUUUCGGAUCGUAAAACUCUGUUGGUAGAGAAGAACGUUGGUGAGAGUGGAAAGCUCAUCAAGUGACGGUAACUACCCAGAAAGGGACGGCUAACUACGUGCCAGCCGCCGCCGUAA